rnacentral:rRNA from 1 species
ACCUUCGGGCCUCUUGCCAUCGGAUGUGCCCAGAUGGGAUUAGCUUGUUGGUGAGGUAACGGCUCACCAAGGCGACGAUCCCUAGCUGGUCUGAGAGGAUGACCAGCCACACUGGAACUGAGACACGGUCCAGACUCCUACGGGAGGCAGCAGUGGGGAAUAUUGCACAAUGGGCGCAAGCCUGAUGCAGCCAUGCCGCGUGUAUGAAGAAGGCCUUCGGGUUGUAAAG